GAGAGAAAUCUGUCGAUAUCAGAGACUGCUAAUCUUCUGCCGCCCCAGUUAAAUUCUGAGGUUCACUCG
rnacentral:tRNA from 2 species